rnacentral:lncRNA from 1 species
CUGACUUAUCCUCGGAUCGGUCCGACCAAUGCCCGACUCUACCCACCGAACAGACAGACGACUCCGACAAUGACAGCCAAUAAUAUCCGACCGAAGGUAUGCCGGCCAAACAGACCAAUACUGUUUCCAACCGGUUGAAUGGCCGAACCCGCAUCACCGACUCACUGUCAGGGGUGACAGUCGACGUCCGACUUCCACACGGCACC